GGGGAAUAUUGCACAAUGGGCGAAAGCCUGAUGCAGCGACGCCGCGUGAGGGACGACGGCCUUCGGGUUGUAAACCUCUUUCAGCAGGGACGAAGCGAAAGUGACUGUACCUGCAGAAGAAGCACCGGCUAACUACGUGCCAGCAGCCGCGGUAAUACGUAGGGUGCAAGCGUUGUCCGGAUUUAUUGGGCGUAAAGAGCUCGUAGGCGGUUUGUCGCGUCGGAUGUGAAAACCUAUGGCUUAACCAUGGGCCUGCAUUCGAUACGGGCAGACUAGAGUUCGGUAGGGGAGACUGGAACUCCUGGUGUAGCGGUGAAAUGCGCAGAUAUCAGGAAGAACACCGGUGGCGAAGGCGGGUCUCUGGGCCGAUACUGACGCUGAGGAGCGAAAGCGUGGGGAGCAAAC
rnacentral:rRNA from 1 species